rnacentral:rRNA from 1 species
GACGAACGCUGGCGGCGUGCUUAACACAUGCAAGUCGAACGCUGAAGCCCUUUCGGGGGUGGAUGAGUGGCGAACGGGUGAGUAACAUGUGGGUAAUCUGCCCUGUACUUCGGGAUAAGCCUUGGAAACGGGGUCUAAUACCGGAUAGGACCUGUCCUCGCAUGGGGGUGGGUGGAAAGUUCCGGCGGUAUGGGAUGAGCCCGCGGCCUAUCAGCUUGUUGGUGGGGUAGUGGCCUACCAAGGCGACGACGGGUAGCCGGCCUGAGAGGGUGACCGGUCACACUGGGACUGAGACACGGCCCAGACUCCUACGGGAGGCAGCAGUGGGGAAUCUUGCGCAAUGGGCGAAAGCCUGACGCAGCAACGCCGCGUGGGGGAUGACGGCCUUCGGGUUGUAAACCUCUUUCGACAUCGACGAAGGGGCCCUGUUGUGGGGCUUUGACGGUAGGUGUAGAAGAAGCACCGGCUAACUACGUGCCAGCAGCCGCGGUAA